GGAGUCUAACAUGUGCGCGAGUCACUAGGUUUGAAAACCUAAGGGCGUAAUUAAAGUGAAGGGGCGACCCUGUUCACUCCGAGGGAGGAUGGGUGCCGGUCUCCCCGGUGCCCCGCACUCCCGGGGCGUUUCUCACUCAUUGCGAGUCGAGGCGCACCCAGAGCGUACACGUUAGGACCCGAAAGAUGGUGAACUAUGCCCGGCCAGGACGAAGCCAGGGGAAACCCUGGUGGAGGUCCGCAGCGAUUCUGACGUGCAAAUCGAUCGUCGGAGCUGGGUAUAGGGGCGAAAGACUAAUCGAACCAUCUAGUAGCUGGUUCCCUCCGAAGUUUCCCUCAGGAUAGCUGGUGCCCAAGGUGAGACGAGUCUCAUCCUGUAAAGCGAAUGAUUAGAGGAAUUGGGGGUCGAAACGACCUCAACCUAUUCUCAAACUUUAAAUAGAUGAGAACUCCGGCUUGCUUGAGCAGUGAAGCCGGAGACUUGGAUCAGGGUGCCCAGUGGGCCAAUUUUG
rnacentral:rRNA from 1 species